GCUGACGUAGCUUAAGCAUAAAGCAUGGCGCUGAAGUUGCCAAAAUGGGCCACAAAAAGUCCCGACAGCA
rnacentral:tRNA from 1 species